GCCUGGCUGGCUUAGUUGGUGGAGCAUGUGACUCAUGACCUCAGGGUUGUGAGUUCAAGGCCCAUGUUGGGUG
rnacentral:tRNA from 1 species